UCCGGUUGAUCCUGCCGGAGGUUACUGCUAUCGAGGUUCGACUAAGCCAUGCGAGUCGAAUGUAGCAAUACAUGGCGUACUGCUCAGUAACACGUGGACAACCUACCCUUAGGUCGGGGAUAAACCCGGGAAACCGGGUAUAAUACCCGAUAGUCCUCGGAUGCUGGAAUGCACCGAGGUCUAAAGCUCCGGCGCCUAAGGAUGGGUCUGCGGCCUAUCAGGUAGUAGUGGGUGUAGCGUACCUACUAGCCUACGACGGGUACGGGUUGUGAGAGCAAGAGCCCGGAGAUGGAUUCUGAGACACGAAUCCAGGCCCUACGGGGUGCAGCAGGCGCGAAAACUUUACAAUGCUGGAAACAGCGAUAAGGGGACCUCGAGUGCCAGGUUACAAAUCUGGCUGUCGUGAUGCCUAAAAAGCAUUGCAUAGCAAGGGCCGGGCAAGACCGGUGCCAGCCGCCGCGGUAACACCGGCGGCUCGAGUGGUAACCGCUAUUAUUGGGUCUAAAGGGUCUGUAGCCGGCCGGAUAAGUCUUUUGGGAAAUCUGGCAGCUUAACUGUCAGGCUUUCAGAGGAUACUGUCUGGCUCGAGGCCGGGAGAGGUGAGAGGUACUUCAGGGGUAGGGGUGAAAUCUUGUAAUCCUUGAAGGACCACCAGUGGCGAAGGCGUCUCACCAGAACGGACCUGACGGCAAGGGAC
rnacentral:rRNA from 1 species